CCCUGCCUAUGUCUGCCUGGCUGCGCCCUGUUUGCAGGCAAUUCUGCCUUAUCAGCAUUACUGAUUUCUCACCCAAAUGCUCUCCAGGCUUGCUCUUUGGCACCAGAGCAGCUUGGAGCAUCUUUCAGAGGAGGGGUGGAUGGGCUGAUUCAGAUGUGAUGCUCAGCCUCAUCACCAAUGCUUUCUUUCACAUGUGGGAGGACAGCUGCUGAUUCUCCCCUGAGCUGCCAGGCAGCAGUUGCCCACAGGCCUUGUCCAGAUGCUUGGCUUGUUUGAAGAGCUUUCCUGCAAGAUAGGAAUCUCCUGGGAAAGGUGGCUCAGCAGAGGGAGUGGGCACAGAAACCUGCUGGGAAAUGGGCAGCACAGAGCUCACGCAAGCAGCAUAGCAUCAGGUUUCCACCGAGCCCAGGGCUGCUGUCCUUCCUUGGGAGCAGACCCUGAGCUGUGCAGUGCCAGACCUGUGCUCAGCUCACACUCGCUCUGGGCUGCCCCCUGCACUUAUCCAAUGCUGUUUGCCUUCUGUUAUUGCCUUGAGGCUUUCCAUGCUGUCUGAGCAAGCUGGCUGGUGGCCCUGCAGCCUGCCCUCCUCUGCAGACAGGUGACUUUCCAGCACCAACAAAAUGCACUGAGUCCCCUCCUGCUCCUCAGCUGGACAGUUUGCAGCAGUACAGCCUGUAACACAUCAUACUGCUUUGUUUAUUCAGAGGCAGGCGUAUUUAAGAGGCGCUGGGCUUAUCUUAAGUCUACCACUUACAAGCAGAAGGAAGGCCCCAGUCUGCUGAAGGCCAGCAGGGAUGUUUGGCUGCAGCCACCCCUCGCAGGUGAUUAAUGCUGCUGGGGGAACACUGUUAUAAACGCAAUGAACUCAGCAUUUUGAGGAGGGGAAUGUGACCCCAUUCCCCAGCCUCACCCUUUCCAAAGCCUCCCUGCUCCCUUAGCCUGGUAAAUGCCACUGAUGAGAGCAGAGAGAUCGCAGCCAUCCAUCUCCAGAAGCCAUUUUUCAGUGGGACUAGAUUCCAUUUAGUCCCUGGACUUACCAGUCUGUUUGGCAAAAGGGAUUUCAUUCCUUUGCUUCUUUUUGUCAGGAUGGAUUUACUGAUCCCAAACACGUUCCUCACACUUUAUUUAGGGCUUAAAGCGCAUCAUUUACAUUGCGGAGCUGUCACCAGCCUGUCUGAGCUGCAGAGGCAGACAGGCAAUGCAUUUCCCUUGCCCCUCUGUUCUCCCUGCCAGAUGUGAGGAUAACGCAUCAAGGAGGUCUCUCAGUAGUUACAAUUUGCCCUUCUGGGAACUGUUGCCUAUUCCCCACCAUGCUGGGGCAGCAGGCUCAGAGUGGAUGGGUGUUCUCCCCCAGCUGCAUUGCAUACAGACAUGCAUACAGACAUGCCACCUGUAACACACAGAGAAUUCCAUGCUCUCACUAAGAGAUGCCAGGCAAUGACUGCUGAGCAUACCAGAACCCCCCUCACCUUUGCCCCCAGGACCUGCUCUGCUGUCUCUCCAGCACUGGAUGGAGGCGAAGCACUAAACAGCCGUGCAUUUCCACACAGGUGCUUGGCACCUGCUUUGCUUUAUGAAAAAAAGCAAUCCAUUUUCUAGCCUGAUCUCAAUUGCAUUUCUAAUUUUAGCCAAGCAGCUCUGCAAUGGGACUGGCUCGCACUGGAGCUGAUUGCAGCUGGUUUGUGGCACGGCAGCAAAGCCGGCCGCUCACUGUUGCUGGUCUGCACCUCACCUCCUGAUGGCACAGGCCAGCAAAUGGGACAGAUGCACGGCAGCACCCUGCUGCUGGCACAGCCACCUCCCCAGGGCUGGCAGGGGGUACACAUUUGGUUGCUUGCUUUCUUCUUCAGGAGUCAGACCCUGCUCAGGACUUCUUUGCUCUUGCCCACUGUCCCUAUAGCAGCCACUUCAGGCCACGUUUCUCCCUUUGCAGCCACAAGCCAUGCUCGUUCUGCACUUAACCUGGUCCAUGGUUACCCAUCCUACGCACAGCACGAUGAACAGAGACAGAGCUCCCAACCUCUCCAUCCUGAAGGAACCUGAAGCUUCUCCCAGGCCUUCCCAAAUGGAGCCGCUGACCUCUGGGAGCUCUGGAAGCCCAAGGAACAAGCAGCAUUAGCAUGAUCGAUCCCUGAUGAUAGCACAGAAGGGAGAGCAGGCAGGAUUUACAUUCUGUCCCUUACGGAUGGUUUGGCUGACAUAUUAAAAGCCGGAUGGAACAUAAAAAUGGAAUUUAUUCAAAUUAAAUGGUUGCAAAUGUCAUACUACAAUGAGCCAGAAAGUCUUCCUACACGCAACAAACCAAAUCUAUGCUUCUAGAAAGCAUGCAAUUUUACCUGCCACUUCCUCCAAAUGAUGUCCUCAUCCUGGAUUUCUGAUUCAAUCCCAAAGAACGAACAGCAUCGUCCUGUCAGGGUGCCAGCAUCUAUCCAGAAAGCCACCAUAUACUUCUUUGAUUAAUUGAAUGAGAGCUGUUUCUUUCCAGGUGAACAGCAAAACGAUCUGCAGAUGUGACUUUACCAGCAGUUGUUAACAUUUAACAUUUGCCCUGCAAUUCCAAAUCACUAACUCAUGAAGUGAAAGGGAAGCCAUGUGGCUUUGGAAGGGCUGUGGCUGUGGGUGCUGACAUUGGCAUCCCUCAGCAGGAGCACAUUAAAACAUGGGGGAUCUCCCUUCCUUUUUGUGUACGCUCCUCAGGUCACAGAAGCCUCUGAGUGUGCAGAAGAGGCACUGUGCCCUCUGCUACCAUCAGCACUGCCCUCCUGGGCUCAGGCCUGAGGGUGCUCUGCGCAUUCUCCUUCCACUUGAAUGAAUCAUAGUGCUUCAGAGCGCACCAGAGCUGUGAACUGUGUGUACGUAGGGCAGCCGUGAGCUGGAAAUUCCCAAUGAAUGACAAAACCACAAAGAUGAAACAAGCAAAACCUGAGGACGCAGUUACCCACCCACGUGGCAACGACAGGAUGGAGCACAACCCCUGGCGCUCUCUUGCCUGCUCCUUCAGACAGCAUCACGCAGACCCGGAGCCAUUCAGCAGCAGCCAGCUCGUAUUUCUGGGGAUUUCCAGUGCAGAGAGCAGAGCUUAGCACCCCAGCCCUGCUCAGCCCCCAGAGCCCUGCUGAGGUGAUGGCUCCUCUCCAAGAUGGACUUAUUUUAAGCACAUGACUGCUCUGACUCGAGAGAACCGGCUUUGCUUUCUGCCUGCUGCUCGAUAUGUGUUACCAUUCGGUUUUGGGGUCGGGGCUCAGCGCUCAGCACCUCGCAGUGCUGCUGAGGCUCAGGGGGACAGUGCACCUUGCCUUGAUGCUCAGCCUGCUUCCAUCAAUGCCUUGUAAAUGCAAAGCUCCGGCUCUCAUUACCGCUCCUCCGAAUCAGCCCGUCCCCCUCUCUACAUGAGAUAUGUUUCGAAUGAUAGCAUUUGUCUUUAAUAAAUGGUCACUCCAUAAACCGCCUCCUAUGGGAAACCUGGGCUUUGUAAGUAAAACCUGAUGUUUCCAUUUCAUUAUAAUGCAUUCGCUAUUAAGGAUGAAUACCAACUCAUCCCCUGUUUAAUAUCAGCCUAAGGUGUGCACUGGUUUAGUAUUACUAUUUAUGAAAUUCAUAUAGCCGGCCUUAAUCCGUUUCAGAUCCCACAGCUGCACCCCUAUCAGCAUCAACUUGACCUGAAAUUGGGACAUUCACCUUUGCUGGAGUCCACGACAUCAGUAACAUUCCGGGAUAGAUAAGGAGCAAAGCUCCCUGCAACCCCACAGAAAGUCCAACUGUAGGAUUAAAGACCUUUAUCAGGUAGUCGGCAUAUCCACGUCCUUCUCUGGCUUAAGCAAAUGUAAAGCGUGUGCAGAGCCAUCCCUUGGAUCCACGCUUCAUGUUUCACAGCCAUCCAUCAUCUCCCUGCGCUGCAUCCCUCAGACGUUUCCAGCAAAAGCAAUGAGAUAAUCUCUGUCCCAUGGGAACGGCCUCGCUGGUAUCUCCUGCAGCUUAAAAGGGGAAGCAGGACCCGACUUAAUCCCCCUCCUGUCUGUGCAGAGAUGGCUUUUCUGACUCAGCCUCACCGGGGACCAGAGAUCCCUUAAAUAACCCUCAAAGGUUGAGAAAUGAGGCUCAGGAUACGCUGCAGAUCCGUGUCGCUGCUGGAGAAAGAAGAGAAGGUAUUACCUGAAGCUGUACAGAGCCAUAAACAAAUGGAUGAGAAGAGACGUAUGUUUUAGCUGGAUUGAUUCGCUUCCCUUUUUCCAGGGCUAUACAGACAAGUGUCACCACAGCAGAGCAAAUGAAUGAAACCACAGAGCCAUUAGCUGAAUUUUCCAGCCCGGUUGAUGUCCAGCUUGGGCUCAGGCCAGCUGUAACCAGAGCUCAGAUUCAGCAGCAGACUGGUGGCUGUGGGGCUGACCCUGCUGUGCUGAGCCCCCCAGCGCUGGGCUCCCAUCCCCACAGCAGCCCCAAGCACAGCUGCUGCCAGCAGGUGAAGGUCCUGCACUUCAUUUCCUCAGCAAGGAAGGUUGUUUGAAGUGACCGCCCUGACGUGCUUACUCAUAGGACCAGCUUGUUCACAAAGCCAUGAUUGGAACCUAUAGUUUACAAGUUCAUUGCAAAUGCCCUUUGGGGAUGGAAAAAAAAAAAAGAGACUGACCCAUUUGAGUUCCAUCUGUUGGGCUUUAUAACUGUUCUCCCUAUAAUUGUCAACAGACAAUGUGAAUUGCAAUUAGCUAAUUGCUUGCUAACUUUCCGUUCUAAUAAUAGUCAUGUUCCAGAGUUAUACAAGCUUGGAGGCUGCUGCUGUUCCCUUGCAACUGGCAAUAAUAAAUAAUACCGUAUUCCCUCAGCAUUGCCCUCUCAUCCAAGUUUCAUCCCCAUGCAAAUUGCUCCAGCAUGUACUAAUCCCUGACGGGAUGGCAAAGGCAUCAACAGCAUUUAUUUGUAGUUUGCUGUGCUGGGAGCAUUCUGCACUUGCACGAUGAUGUGGCACCGGGACACGGCCGCUCCCCUGCUCCACUUGUCCCUUCCAUGCAGUGACUGCAGCAGGUUGGGGAGCUGCCACCACUCGUCCCUGGAAACCCAGUCUGCUUGUCAAUCCGUGUUCGCUUUCCAUUUUUGGUUGGUUCCUUUUGUUUUGUUUUCCUUUUACAGGAUCAGAUGUGGCCCUGACCCCUGUAUUGACAUGUUUUAUUACCAGUAGCUUCAAUAAUGUCAGCACAGACCUAAACUGGAGCUUUGGAGAACACACGCUCCCCAGCAACAGACCAAGCUGUGCAAUGUCACUGCUGCGUGCUGCAGCGAUAAGGAGGGGCUGGGACCCCCAUGGGGCUUCAGACAGUGCCAGCUAUCAAGUCGGGUGCAGAGCCCAAACCUUCUUGGCGGGGGGUGAUGCAGGGAACACCCUUCCGAGUGGCAGAACAAUUCUGCACCCCUCUCCAGGCUUUCUGCUCUCCAGCCCAUUACUGUUGUGCAGAUGCGGCUAAUUGGGAAGCAAAGCAACAGGCUGAUCUAGUGAAAUCAAGGCAAGCCAAUGAAAUGAGCAAUAACAUUCUCUGGCGCUCGAGAAACUACUGAAUGCAAACCUGCCAGCGAGCUGACAUCUCCAGAGCUUACAGCCUAAUCUUAUUAAACUCGACCAAAAAGCCUUUUAGAGUUGGGGGAGCAGUGUCCAGCAAAAGCUGGUCUGGAUUAUUCCUCAGGCGCCUCAGGGCUUUGUGUUUGCUGUUGGAUCCCCACACCUGCAGUGGGGGGACGGAGGACCCCCUGUGCCCACAUGGAAAUGGGCACCCGAAACUGGGGGGCUCCGCCCACCCAAGGCUGUGCUUAACGCAGAGCGAUGGGUGCAUGGCAGAAGGUUGGGAAUCCCCCUUUAGCACAACUGCUCCAUCUCCAGCUCCAAUGGCUUCCCAGCCUCUGGCUCUAGGCAGGGCAGCCUGGAGGUUCCUCGGUUUCAGAGCUGCUCCAGAUUCCUCAUCCUUUGUGCACAGUUUUUCCAUCCCUUCCUCCCCUCCUCGCCUUCUUCUGACAUUUGACACACGGAUAGAUUUAUUAAGUUUAAAAGCACUCCUUGUACAAGCCUCAAGAGCAUGUCCCCCACUCCACAGCCUCAUCCACCUCUUUCCCACUUACACAACCUGCUCUGACCCCCUUUCCCAGGGUUUUGGUGGAGAGGUAUCAAAAUCGUGCCACGAAGCAGCAUUCUCCCAGCAAAGCCACACCAGAUUUCCCCUUUCCCUUGCAUAGCAACACAGUGAUCUCUUGAGGAAGGAGAGCUCUGUGUCCUGACCUGGACAACCCAGGAAUCCUCUUUCAACCACUUUCUCCUUUCUCAGCAGAGUCCUGGACCUUCCCAGGUUCCCUGUGUGCCAUACCUGCAGUCACACAGCCAUACGCAUCCCUCACCCCCCACACCGGCACUCCUUUUUCUCAAUGAAACCCUUCUGUCCCCACUCCGAGAAUCACUGCUAAGCAGAAGCUGAUUUUAAAUACCCCCAAAUCAAUGUUCCUUGAUCACGAAACAUCACAGAAGAGCCAACUACAACUCACUGCAAAAAAAAAAAAAAAAGGCCAGAUGUAGCAAAUGGGGCCUGUAUGGGUAUGGCAGAGGGACAGUCGAACCAGUUGAUCUAAUGAUCGUUUUUACCUUCAGACUGCAAAUCAGUGAGGCCUGAACAAGUCCUGACGGGCCGGUCCCCAAAUUUCUGCUUUCUCUUCAUCUCUGCUUAAACUUCUUUGUCAUUUCAGCUUCUCCAUGAAAAGAGGAAGACGGGAAGCACAUAAGGAAAGGACACCAACAAUGCACGUUAUCUCUCAGGCACCCAAAAGACCAAAAAUCAUAGGAGUUGUUCCAGAAUUCCAAUCCCUCCCACACUGUGAUGGAUCCCAAAACAGGGAUGCAGUGGCAGCAAGGAAGAGUGCCGCUGCCACCUCUGCCUUCUCCCCACAUUCAGGUGCACAAAGCAGGAGUGCCUGUUGUGACUCAAUCCGAGUAGCGGGACACAACGAGCCGGAGGAAUUCAGCCAACAGAACAGCUUUGCUUACUUCUGCUUUGGCUUCCUCUUCGUAUGUUUUUUCUCAGCGCUGGUUGAUGGAUUUCAGACCCAGGGAACAUUAAGAAAUGAAAUGGAGAAGGCUGUGACACGCUGUGCAUGGUGCCAAGGAAUGGCGGUGACGCACGGCAGCUGGCGGCUCGGAGUGCACCUCACCCUGGGACCCCGAACUGCCCCGACACACCCCUGGGUGCAGCUCCUGGGGCACAGCACCAGCAGGACGGCCACCUGCUGCUUCACACCUCCUGGAGACAUCAGGAAGGCUCCAGCAGGGUUUGGGGCAUCUUCAGCAAUCUCCCCCUUGGAAGUCAAGAAAGGGGAAUCAACAGGAAGACGGCUGGGACCUCGCUGCUGCACAGCACAGUUUGUUCCCGGAGCUGGCUGCGCUCCGUGGAGCAGCAUUGCUUUUUCAGCACAGAGUCAGGAAAGAAUGGGGCGUUAUCGGAGCAUGCCGAGGUCCCACAGACUGCAUCCUUUCCACUGUGCCAUGAUUGCCACAUGGGUUACUCCCAGCAAUCACUGCCAGGCACUCUUUGAAACGAGACCAAAAGGUCUGACCAGCUUGAAUUCAUCUCCUAAUCUCAGGAGAGAAGAGAAAAGGUCCUAUUAAGCUUGGUGCAAAGCUGACUCUGGUCUCUGACUGACAAGUGGCUAUGGACUAUACACAAAAAUGCUCUAAAGCUGACUGCACCAAAUGUUUCUUCUCCACCUAACACAGUUGUUUGGGAUUCGGUUAGAAACAAAACUGCAUCUUGUAGUUUUUAAUAAAGCUCUUGGCGAGCAGUUCAAACACUGGAGAGGGGGAGCGGGAGAGAGAGAUUGAAUUUAUGGGAGCGGGAGGAGAUCAUUUGCUUUCUUAGGAUUGAAAAGAUUAAUCAUCUGCAAAGGCUCUUGGAUUCAUUCCUCACAUAGCAGAAUGGCUAGGAGACUUACCGGCUUGAUAUUCUUUUUUCUCCUUCCCCAGGUGGCCCAGAGACUGUCUGGACUGCAGGAAAAAGGACCGGGAGCCAUCCUGUGUCAGCUCCUGGUGAGGAAGGAGCAGUGGUGCAGCAGGAGGAGGAGCACCAAACCCCACAGAGCUCACUGCGCUGUGAGAUUAAAGAUCUACGUACUGUUCUGUAAGCUCUGGUUGUGUGGAAAGGCAGUGGUGGAUGUGGGGCUGGCAGGGAGCACAGAACAAAACAGGUUGAUCCUACCAGCUCUUACCCAUUGCUGGACCACCAAUGGCACCAACCACCUCAUAGCAAGUCUCUGGGUUAAUGGAAAUCCUCUCUCCACUAUUCUGCAGUCAACUCAUAACAUGCCGAGGUGAACCCCAAAGUAAGGACAAAUGGAAGGAAAAAGACAGCAAUUUUCCAAGGCCACUGAACAGCCCAAAGCUUUCUAAUAUCCCAAACACAAGGCAAGCCUUGCUGAACAGCAAGCAUGAAGAACAGAUGAAAAGCAGAGUGGGAAAGGGAGGAGAACCAAGGGAUGUCCACGGGGAAGCAUGGGAUGUAUCCUCAAGGCAAUCCAGGGGCUGUGCUGAAGAGCUGUUCUCCAGGAUUGCAAACUGAUCCAUUCAUUACUUCCAGCCUCACAGACCUCAUCAUGCCCUGGGGCAACAGACUGCCCUUUCCCCUCAGAAGCUCCUGCUGAACAGUACAGGCAAUGAGGCUGCAAGCAGCUUGAAAAUAGGAGAUGCGAGCAAAGGGAGCCACCAGGCAUAUCCCAGUCUGAAGGAACAGCCACCUCCCCAAAAGCAAACUCAUUCAGGGAAUAGGAUGAGAGGAUAAGCCAGGAAACACGGUUUCCACUGUUAUCUUGCUGUUGUCCAAUGAUAACUAACAGAUCUCCUAACGCUGCUGCUACUGGGAGGUUGCAAGACGACAGCCCUGCCCCUUGGUUGGGUGCAAGUGCAGUAGUGAGUGCUUUCAGAACUUCAUAGAAAGCCAUGGAGCACUCAUAUGUGGAAAACCAAGCUCACAGUGCUACUUACGAAUGCUUACCGUGCUCCAGUUUGGGUGCAGGGGGCUGCAGUGGUGCUCAUAAUGCCAUACUUUGAGGUUGUUUCACAGAAGGCCAAGAUCAGCCCUAUUUUUCAAAUAAUUUUAGGAAAUAGAAGGUUUGCUCCAUCUGAGAAUGAAUGAGGAACUCGAGCAGAGCUGCUAAACAUAAAAGUUCCUGGACAUCUGGAAAGGAUUAGUCAGGAAGGUGCUUGGGACAAGGAGUUCAGGCAAGUUCAAGAGACACCUACUGUACAUUUGUUUCCACAGAAAGAGGGAGGAGGAGAGAAAGGGUUGAGGGGAAAAGCAGGAAGGGAGGAUUGAAGUAAAACCUACACAGGAAUGGCAGAUAAGGUGGGAGAGAUGAGAGCAGUCUGCACUCUGUCGACUGCUGCAGAGGGUCUGCUAAGCAGAGAGGGCAGGGUGCAGCAUCAGGGGAUGGAGCACAGAGGCAAAGAACCGACCAAAGAGAUUUCUGUGCCCAUCUUUGCAAAGCCAGACAAUGGGCCCUGAGCUGAGCACUUCCUCACCACAGGAAAGCACUUCCUUGCUUUGUAGCCAGAUGCGUUCCCAUUCAACUCACGUCUAUAGGAUUAGCAGAUUUUGUUCCCCUUGGAGCUCACCAGCAGCUCAACAGGGCAAAUGCUGUGAUAAAGUCAAGAGCACUCGAGAAACAUUAAAGCGUAGACAGCCAAGUGCUAGGAAUGAGAGCUGAACAUUCAAUUAAUGUAGAUGGGAGAAUGUUUGUUUUAUUUCUGAGUGGAUAAGCACUCGAGCAGGCUCUGGGGCCCUGCAAAGUCACAAAGGAGUGCUGCUCCAGGCCAAGAUGAAAGUCUCAAAGAAUAAGCAUGGAAACCGCAGGGGCUUGUGAAACUCAUGCUUGGUUUAUUAAAUGACUCACAAGGCUUUUUGUCACGUAUUUCUGCCCCCAGCUAAAAUCAAACUUAAAUUCGGGUGCCAAAUUCUAUAUCUUUUUUUUUUUUUCCUUGUUAUGGUAAUUUGAUUCUGAAAUCUGCCUGAUAAUCCAUGAGCUUAUGCUCAAGGAAAGCUUCUGUUGCUAAGCCUGGAGUUCUGAAUCUGACUCUCCAAAUCCAUGGAUUCUGCUUCCAGGUGGACAAAGAUGUUGGGACAGUGGUAUAUAUCCACAUGCAUGAGAUGCUGCCACUGCCUGGAGAGUUGGAAGGGAUACGGUGUAUAAGAACAUGUAUGCUUUCAAUACGAUGGCAGAGGGGUCAGAAAGCACACCUAUACUCUACUGUAGAGUGGGAGAAUGGGGUGACAUAAAAGUGUCUAAGAUAAAAUUACCCAUAGACGGUCUCAUUUCCAAAGCAGAACUGCGUACAGAAGCUAACUUUCACCCUACGUGAAAAAACAAACCAACCAGAUAGAAGUCAGACGCUCCCUAUAAAUGCUUGUGGGUGUUUAAAUUUAGUAACUGAUCUUAGUUUGUGCUUUCCCCAUAAGUGAAGAAUAACUAUUUUCAAAUUAAGUUAGUAGGAGGUAGAGCUGAAAAUCAAAGCAUGAGCUCUGUGUUUCCUGAAAACUUCACUUUAACAAGGUAGCUCCAGCUGCUAACUUUGUUUUAUUGCAUUCCUAAGAGACAGGUCUUCAUGCAAGAACACUUUAAGAGCUCUGUUCUAAAAAUAAAGGCACUCAGAGUUAUUUUUAUGGCUAGGUGUGUUAUAUCAGUUAGUCUCAGAGCGAGCAAUGCCUUUGGUGCUGCUGUUACCUCCUGACCUUUCUGGGCUGGAGCCCCCAUCCCCACACACCUACCUGGUGUCCCUGCUUCCUGGAGCUGCAAGCUGGGGCAGCACUGAAACAACGGCAUCCAGUCUGCCUGGCUGCAGGUAUCUGGCUCAGCAGUGCAGACUCCCAGGGAUGGAAAGAGGUGGAGUGGCCUUCUCGCCUGAGUGCUCUGAAGUUCAGCCCAUGGAGGCUGAUUGUCUUCAUGGUGGGAUGCUUUGAAUCUGCAGAUUCUCCAGCAAACACAGGCUGAAGGGAGUCUCGCAUCUACAAGGAAUGACAUUCUUGUUAACAACUGGGGGAUCUUGGCAGCCUUCCUGAGCUGCAACAUACAGACCUUGAAGCCGAACAAAACCCGCAGUUGUAUCCAAUUAGAGCCCUCUGAUGCAGAGGUUCAUUUGUGUCCUUCCAGAAGACAGCAGACAAAUGCAACUGAUGACAUGGCCUAUCAGCCAUACACCAUUCUUGGUAAUUAAUUGCACCAAAACUUCAACGUGUGCUUCCUUCACCCCAUUCCAGUGAGAGUCAGAGUCGGAUCACGGCUUCCUUCAGCUCAGAAACCCCUCUCAGCACUCCCACAGCACUGUCAUUAACCCAAAAGACAGAUAAUAGAGAGCCAGACUUCCAGGAGAGGCAGAAAGGCCACCACUGCACUGUUCUGAAGGCCUUCCAAAACUUAAAUCCAUUUGUUCCUUAUGCAGCUGUAAGACAGGCUGCCAGAGGAGUACUGAAGGGCUGUACAGUGUGUGCACAUGUAAACACAAUUUUGCAGCCACAAACACAGUGAUUUACUGUUUUCUAAUGGUAAGAUGAAACCUCAAGGCCAAGCAAAGAUGGUACCCUAAGAAACACCUCACAGUCAUCUGUCUUUACUCACUUUGUGCUGUAUGUGAUGAGCAUAAGACGAUACAGCUGUUCCCUAUCAGGUCGUCUGCCCUCCCCUCUGGCUUUCCACUGCCAUUUUGUAGCAGAGAGGCUUCUCGUAUCCUCUCUACGCUGAAGCAUAACAGCUCAGCAUUUAGCUCAAGCUGUGGCAAAGGGACUAAGUUCAGAGUGUGUCACUGUGCUUCAGAAGUGACAGUGACAAAGACUCAGGCACACCUUUGUUGAGAGGUCAGAACAUUUUGGCCCAUUCUUGUGUCACUGAGAGACUCAAGAUGUGCAUGGGAAGCAAUCAUAAGCUCAGAGCACCCUCAGACAGCAAACCAAAGACAGACUAUCGAGAGUGGUGACAAUUACAGCACACACCAGCCAGCUGCAUGUGGAGUCAGGCAGUAAGCAGAAGCAAGCAGAAAAAUGCAGCAGCUCACACUGAAGGAAUGUCAACAGACAUGAAAACUGAAGUCUCUUCCCUCCCAUCAAAAUGCUUCCUAUAAAGCUGCAAAUCAAACAGCUUGGCAGCACACUCCAAACACAAGCAAUACAUCUUCACUUCUGCCACAGGCUCUUAGCUAUCAGAAAAGGGACAGGUAGAUGGAUGAGAGAGCUUGCUAUUAUCUUUGUUCCUUGCUGUAUCCCAACAUACAACCUUGUUUGUCAGAUGGAUUUAGAGCGACAGUCUCUCCAGACACCAGCAGUCAGCUGUCACAAAAGAGCUAGGAGGUAAUCCAAGUAAAUCUACUGCAGCCUCUGUCAUCCCACAGCAGACACUCAUCCUUUCCUUCAAAUCAGAACUCAGUUAUGCCCCUAGGGAAGGUGCAUGGGCUGAACACUCAGAGCAGGUGAGAGCUAAUAAAGUUCACCUAAGGUACUUCACUGGCCAGAACCUAACUACUGGGGAUGUUUGAAUUUAAACAACCCAAAGGUAGAAGGUGCAUAUCUGGAGCUGAGAGAGGAGUUUGUGGGCUAGAAGCAAAGUUUUGGAAAUCAGAUGAAAUUUUGCACUGUGCUGUGCACAGGAAAAUAGAUGCCUUAUUCUGAAACAACACUGUGAUGUAACCUCCUGCACCAGAAGCACACUGACAAAACGAGUCAGUGACAGGUCAUGGUGAGACAGAGCUGCUCGAGGAUGAGAAAUACUUUGCACGCAGAAGCAGCUGCAUCGAGACUGCUACACAACCAUUAGCUAAAUAAACUUCAUUCUUGGCUAAUCUGCCAAACCAGUAUCUUCACUGCAUCAUCUGCUUUAUCUUAAGCUGAAGCAGUCAGAGGAGGAGCCCAUUUCUCACUUUCCUGGGAAUGAGAUGACCAAGUGAAAAGCUCCCCAGCAGCAGCAAUUUGACUCAGCAGUUAAGCUGCACCCUUGCACAAGGUCUAUAGGGGAUGCACAGAGCAGAAGCCACAAGAGCCCCUUUCAGGGCAGACUGGAGGACAGGAUCAGCACCAGCAAGCAUUCCAGGGCCAUGAAGCAAUGUUGGGCUUGCAGAUACAAAGAGGAAUUGCCUCCCAGCCCCCAUGGCCAGCAGAUGCCUGAAACACCUGCCCUGUAUGUGCUCAGAGCAGAAACUGCCUUGCUUUCCAUGUGUUUAACGCCCUUCGUUUGACAAACGUUGAUUUCAUCAGUCAUGACACCCUGAAGCCAUACCAAAGCCAAGUGGGUGACGUUAUUUUCCUUUGCAAUUAAAACUGCAUAUUAACUACCAUUCCUCAAAGAACUGUCAGCUGAUGGGGAAGCACUGGCAGCAGCAGCCCUGCACAAUCAGCAGUCUUCAAAGGCCGCCGAACAGAGCUCUCUGCAGGUCGAGCAGUGCCCUCAGGUGGUCGGAUGGAUCCCUCGGGUUUUAAACUUAUUUUGUGUAUACAUCCUCU
ensembl:lncRNA